rnacentral:rRNA from 1 species
UACGUAGGGUGCAAGCGUUGUCCGGAAUUAUUGGGCGUAAAGAGCUCGUAGGCGGUUUGUUGCGUCGGCUGUGAAAUCCCGAGGCUCAACCUCGGGUCUGCAGUCGAUACGAGCAAACUAGAGUGUUGCAGGGGAGACUGGAAUUCCUGGUGUAGCGGUGAAAUGUGCAGAUAUCAGGAGGAACACCGGUGGCGAAGGCGGGUCUCUGGGCAACAACUGACGCUGAGGAGCGAAAGCGUGGGUAGCAAACAGG